rfam:Capsella rubella cultivar Monte Gargano unplaced genomic scaffold scaffold_8, whole genome shotgun sequence.
CCGACCUUAGCUCAGUUGGUAGAGCGGAAGACUGUAGUUGUUUACAACAGAUGAUCUUUAGGUCGCUGGUUCGAUUCCGGCAGGUCGGA